UGCGGCGCAUUAGGUAGUUGGUGGGGCAACGGCCCACCAAGCCGACGAUGCGUAGGGGUUCUGAGAGGAAGGUCCCCCACAUUGGAACUGAGACACGGUCCAAACUCCUACGGGAGGCAGCAG
rnacentral:rRNA from 1 species